rnacentral:rRNA from 1 species
GGGUGCGAGCGUUAAUCGGAAUUACUGGGCGUAAAGCGCGCGUAGGCGGCUUUGCAAGUCGGGUGUGAAAUCCCCAGGCUUAACCUGGGAACUGCAUUCGAGACUGCAUUGCUAGAGUAUGGGAGAGGGAAGUGGAAUUUCCGGUGUAGCGGUGAAAUGCGUAGAUAUCGGAAGGAACAUCAGUGGCGAAAGCGACUUCCUGGACCAAUACUGACGCUCAUGUGCGAAAGCGUGGGGAGCAAACAGGAUUAGAUACCCUGGUAGUCCACGCCAUAAACGAUGAGAACUGGAUGUCGGGAGGGUCUGCCUCUCGGUGUCGUAGCUAACGCGUUAAGUUCUCCGCCUGGGGAGUAGGGCCGCAAGGUUGAAACUCAGAGGAAUUGACGGGGACCCGCACAGGCGGUGGAGCAUGUGGUUUAAGUCGAUGCAACGCAAGAACCUUACCUGGUCUUGACAGCCCAUGAACCCCGCAGAAAUGUGAGGAUGCGUUCAUGGUGCUGUAGACAAGUGCGGGAUGGGUGUUGUCAGGCCGUGGUAGGCAAGGGGGGGGAGAUGUUGGGA